AGAAAGUAAGCAAGGGCAGACGGUGGAUGCCUUGGCUCUCGGAGGCGAUGAAGGACGUGAUAAGCUGCGAAAAGCUCGGGGGAGGCGCAAAUAGCCCUUGAUCCCGGGAUAUCCGAAUGGGGCAACCCGGCAGGCUGAAGGCCUGCCAUCCCGUAAGGGAGGCGAACGUGGGGAACUGAAACAUCUAAGUACCCAUAGGAGGAGAAAAUAAACAAUGAUUCCGUAAGUAGUGGCGAGCGAACACGGAAGAGCCCAAACCCGUGCCGUCUAGGCGACACGGGGGUUGUAGGACCACGACGUGGCAAGAUAGAGUCAAGUGGAACGCCUUGGAAAAGGCGACCGUAGAGGGUGAUAGUCCCGUACACGACUGACGAUUGAAGCCUAGUGGCAUCCUGAGUAGCGCGGGGCACGAGAAAUCUUGCGUGAAACUGCGGGGCCCAUCCCGUAAGGCUAAAUACUCCCGAGAGACCGAUAGCGAACCAGUACCGUGAGGGAAAGGUGAAAAGAACCCCGAGCAGGGGAGUGAAAUAGACCCUGAACCCGUCUGCCUACAAGCGGUCGGAGCAUCGUCAAGAUGUGACGGCGUGCCUUUUGCAUAAUGAACCUACGAGUUACCUUCCCCGGCAAGGUUAAGUACCUAAGGUACGGAGCCGAAGCGAAAGCGAGUCUGAAUAGGGCGGCCAGUCGGGGGGGGUAGACGCGAAACCGAGUGAUCUACCCUUGGCCAGGUUGAAGGUUGGGUAACACCAACUGGAGGACCGGAUGGGUAAGCGUUGAAAAGCUUUCCAAUGAGCUGAGGGUAGGGGUGAAAGGCUAAUCAAACUCGGAGAUAGCUCGUACUCCCCGAAAUGCAUUUAGGUGCAGCCUCUUUAUAGUAUAUCGUGAGGUAGAGCGACUGAUUGGAUGCGAGGGCUUCACCGCCUAUCAAGUCCAGAUAAACUCCGAAUGCGCGAUAUAUAUUUAAAGGGAGUGAGGGCGCGGGUGCUAAGGUCCGUGUCCGAGAGGAGAAGAAUCCAGACCACCGGCUAAGGCCCCCAAAUGAUCGUUGAGUUGAACUAACGAGGUCGGAUCGCAGAGACAGCUAGGAUGUUGGCUUGGAAGCAGCCAUUCAUUUAAAGAGUGCGUAACAGCUCACUAGUCGAGCGAUCUGGCGUGGAUAAUAAUCGGGCAUAAACGAUCUGCCGAAGCCGUGGAUGUCGUAAGACAUGGUAGGGGAGCAUUCCAUGGGCGUCGAAGAUGAGGGAUGACCCUUGUUGGAGCGCAUGGAAAAGCAAAUGUAGGUAUGAGUAACGAUAAGGGGGGCGAGAAACCCCCCCGCCGAAAGACCAAGGUUUCCUGAUCAACGCUAAUCGGAUCAGGGUGAGUCGGGACCUAAGGCAAAGCCGAACGGCGACGCCGAUGGAAGAAUGGGUUAAUAUUCCCAUACUGCCUCAUGGAGUGACGUGGAGACGGAGAAGUGACAGUCCUGCCGGCUGACGGAAUAGCCGGUUGAAGGGUGUAGAUAUUGAUUCCCGUAGGCAAAUCCGCGGGGAGAGUCGAACCUGAGAGUAUACGGAGCGCUUGCGCAACGUAAUAUGGACGUAACCAUGCUCCCGAGAAAAUCCGCUAAACUUAUCCAUGCGGCACCCGUACCGUAAACGGACACACGUGGUCGGGUUGAGAAUACUGAGGCGCUCGAGUGACUCACGGUUAAGGAACUAGGCAAAUUGACCCUGUAACUUCGGGAUAAAGGGUCCUCGUCGUAAGGCGAGGCGCAGAGAAUAGGUCCAGGCAACUGUUUAACAAAAACACAUGGCUGUGCUAAAUGGAAACAUGACGUAUACAGCCUGACACCUGCCCGGUGCUGGAAGGUUAAGAGGAGAUGUCAUCGCAAGAGAAGCGUUGAAUUGAAGCCCCAGUAAACGGCGGCCGUAACUAUAACGGUCCUAAGGUAGCGAAAUUCCUUGUCGGGUAAGUUCCGACCUGCACGAAUGGUGUAAUGAUCUGGACACUGUCUCAACCGUGAGCUCGGUGAAAUUGUAGUAUCGGUGAAGAUGCCGAUUACCCGCGAUGGGACGAAAAGACCCCGUGAACCUUUACUAUAGCUUUACAUUGAAUUUGGGCAGACGAUGUGUAGGAUAGGCCGGAGGCUUUGAAGGGGGUACGCCAGUAUCCUUGGAGCCGCCGUUGAAAUACGGCCCUUCGGUUGUUUGAGUUCUAACUCCUAGGCAGGAGGACACUGUAUGGUGGGUAGUUUGACUGGGGUGGUCGCCUCCAAAAGCGUAACGGAGGCUUCUAAAGGUGCCCUCAGACCGAUUGGUAACCGGUCGCAGAGUGUAAUGGCAUAAGGGCGCUUGACUGGGAGAGAUACAACUCGAUCAGGUAGGAAACUAGAGCAUAGUGAUCCGGUGGUUCCGCAUGGAAGGGCCAUCGCUCAAAGGAUAAAAGGUACUCCGGGGAUAACAGGCUGAUCAUUCCCAAGAGCUCAUAUCGACGGAAUGGUUUGGCACCUCGAUGUCGGCUCGUCACAUCCUGGGGCUGGAGAAGGUCCCAAGGGUUGGGCUGUUCGCCCAUUAAAGUGGCACGCGAGCUGGGUUCAGAACGUCGUGAGACAGUUCGGUCUCUAUCUAUCGUGGGCGCAGGAGAUUUGAGGGGCUCUGACACUAGUACGAGAGGACCGUGUUGGACGUACCACUGGUUUACCGGUUGUCCCGCCAGGGGCACCGCCGGGUAUCUAAGUACGGAUCGGAUAAGUGCUGAAAGCAUCUAAGUACGAAGCCGGCCUCAAGAUUAGAUCUCCCUCAAGGGUGGUUAUAGACGAUGACCUUGAUAGGCCACAGGUGUAAGGGCGGCGACGUCCGAGCCGAGUGGUACUAAUAGCCCGGGACUUUCCUCA
rnacentral:rRNA from 1 species